rnacentral:rRNA from 1 species
AAGCCUCUAAGCAUCAGGUAACACGAAAUCGUACCCCAAACCGACACAGGUGGUCAGGUAGAGAAUACCAAGGCGCUUGAGAGAACUCGGGUGAAGGAACUAGGCAAAAUGGUGCCGUAACUUCGGGAGAAGGCACGCUGGUGUGUAGGUGAAGCCCCUGCGGGUGGAGCUGAGACCAGUCGAAGAUACCAGCUGGCUGCAACUGUUUAUUAAAAACACAGCACUGUGCAAACACGAAAGUGGACGUAUACGGUGUGACGCCUGCCCGGUGCCGGAAGGUUAAUUGAUGGGGUUAUCCGUAAGGAGAAGCUCUUGAUCGAAGCCCCGGUAAACGGCGGCCGUAACUAUAACGGUCCUAAGGUAGCGAAAUUCCUUGUCGGGUAAGUUCCGACCUGCACGAAUGGCGUAAUGAUGGCCAGGCUGUCUCCACCCGAGACUCAGUGAAAUUGAACUCGCUGUGAAGAUGCAGUGUACCCGCGGCAAGACGGAAAGACCCCGUGAACCUUUACUAUAGCUUGACACUGAACAUUGAGCCUUGAUGUGUAGGAUAGGUGGGAGGCUUUGAAGCGUGGACGCCAGUCUGCGUGGAGCCAACCUUGAAAUACCACCCUUUAAUGUUUGAUGUUCUAACGUUGGCCCCUAAUCGGGGUUGCGGACAGUGUCUGGUGGGUAGUUUGACUGGGGCGGUCUCCUCCCAAAGCGUAACGGAGGAGCACGAAGGUUAGCUAAUCCUGGUCGGACAUCAGGAGGUUAGUGCAAUGGCAUAAGCUAGCUUGACUGCGAGCGUGACGGCGCGAGCAGGUGCGAAAGCAGGUCAUAGUGAUCCGGUGGUUCUGAAUGGAAGGGCCAUCGCUCAACGGAUAAAAGGUACUCCGGGGAUAACAGGCUGAUACCGCCCAAGAGUUCAUAUCGACGGCGGUGUUUGGCACCUCGAUGUCGGCUCAUCACAUCCUGGGGCUGAAGUAGGUCCCAAGGGUAUGGCUGUUCGCCAUUUAAAGUGGUACGCGAGCUGGGUUUAGAACGUCGUGAGACAGUUCGGUCCCUAUCUGCCGUGGGCGCUGGAGAAUUGAGGGGGGCUGCUCCUAGUACGAGAGGACCGGAGUGGACGCAUCACUGGUGUUCGGGUUGUCAUGCCAAUGGCACUGCCCGGUAGCUAAAUGCGGAAGAGAUAAGUGCUGAAAGCAUCUAAGCACGAAACUUGCCCCGAGAUGAGUUCUCCCUGAGACUU